UACUCAGUGUUGAUUGAUCCAGG
rnacentral:siRNA from 1 species